UACGGAGGAUCCGAGCGUUAUCCGGAUUUAUUGGGUUUAAAGGGAGCGUAGGCGGGUUGUUAAGUCAGUUGUGAAAGUUUGCGGCUCAACCGUAAAAUUGCAGUUGAUACUGGCAUCCUUGAGUACAGUAGAGGUAGGUGGAAUUCGUGGUGUAGCGGUGAAAUGCUUAGAUAUCACGAAGAACUCCGAUUGCGAAGGCAGCCUGCUGGACUGUAACUGACGCUGAUGCUCGAAAGUGUGGGUAU
rnacentral:rRNA from 1 species